CAAAUUUACUUCUAUAUAGUUAUCCAUUAAUAUCUUAACAUCGAUAUCUUAGCUAGAAAGGUGAAUAUAUGGAGGACCAUUUUCGAACCGCAGCUUCUUAUUAUACAAACGUUUCUGUCUCUUCCACACCACAAUCACCACCUACAUUUAACCAUCCUCCUUGUCAUCUACUUGAAAAAG